rnacentral:rRNA from 1 species
GACGAACGCUGGCGGCGUGCUUAACACAUGCAAGUCGAACGGAAAGGCCCUGCUUUUGUGGGGUGCUCGAGUGGCGAACGGGUGAGUAACACGUGAGUAACCUGCCCUUGACUUUGGGAUAACUUCAGGAAACUGGGGCUAAUACCGGAUAGGAGCUCCUGCUGCAUGGUGGGGGAUGGUAAGUUUCGGCGGUUGGGGAUGGACUCGCGGCUUAUCAGCUUGUUGGUGGGGUAGUGGCUUACCAAGGCUUUGACGGGUAGCCGGCCUGAGAGGGUGACCGGCCACAUUGGGACUGAGGUACGGCCCAGACUCCUACGGGAGGCAGCAGUGGAGAAUAUUGCACAAUGGGCGGAAGCCUGAUGCAGCAACGCCGCGUGCGGGAUGACGGCCUUCGGGUUGUAAACCGCUUUCGCCUGUGACGAAGCGUGAGUGACGGUAAUGGGUAAAGAAGCACCGGCUAACUACGUG